rnacentral:lncRNA from 1 species
UGCGCCUUUUGUGUUUUCUCCUAAAGUACUGCAUAUUUUAUUUAUCCAAUUGCACAGUGUCAUUGAGAAAGUUGAAUCAUUAUUACAGACAUAUUUUUUUCCCCGAAUUUAUUCCGUAUUUAGAAAAAAAACAAAAGAUUUUUCACAGAUUUAAAAGUAAAAUUUCAAUUAGAUACAUUCACAAUCCCGAAUCACAAUUCUUGACCACCGUUGGGUAUUCUUUCACGAUCAUUUCUCUCGAUAAUUCGAAUGACACCCGUGAUCUGUAACCGAAGUGCGAGUGGAAGGAAAUCAAGGGGGCUUUGUAAAAUUUUGGGAAUGUUAAGGAGGACUAUCAAACUUGUAUUUAAUUCUUCUAAGCGGGAGGGGAAAGGGGCAAUGAAAUGUUUUCAAAAUAUUUUAGCAAUUCUGUAUACAAUGAACACACUAUUGUUUACGUGGAGAUGCAUACUCAAGAGACAACC